CGUGCUAAGGUAGCAUAAUCACUUGGUCUUUAAUUGGGUUCUGGUAUGAAAGGUUAAACAAAGACCAGUUUCUUAUUUAUAGAGGUAAAACUUAAGGUUUAAGUAAAAACGCUUAAAAAACUGUGGGACGAUAAGACCCUAAAAGCUUAAUCUUAGCACCUCCGGCUAAACCUCGUGAUUUGUUAAUAAGAUUUGGUUGGGGUAACAACCUUAAAUGUAUUAAGGUUAUUUAAAUACAAUUAGUAUCUAAGGACCCUUAAUAUUAGGAUAAAAAUAGAAGUUACUUUAGGGGUAACAGGGUAAUUAUUUUACGGAGCUCUUAUCUACAAAAUAGAUUGCCACCUCGAUGUUGAAUUAAGGUCUCUACGCUAAGCAAAAAGAGCGCAAGAAGGUUUGUUCAACCUUUAAUUCCUUACAUGAUCUGAGUUCAAACCGGA
rnacentral:rRNA from 1 species